CCCACCUCCACCAGUCCACCAUUAUGAUCCUCCAUAUUACUACAAGUCACCUCCACCUCCCUCACCAGUUUACAAGUACAACUCCCCACCUCCACCAGUCCACCAUUACGAUCCUCCAUAUUACUACAAGUCACCUCCACCUCCCUCACCGGUUUACAAGUACAACUCCCCACCUCCACCAGUCCAUUAUUAUUCACCUCCAUAUUACUACAAAUCACCCCCUACUCCUGUGAAAUCGCCACCACCUCCAUACUACUAUAAAUCACCGCCUCCUCCCUCACCAGUUUAUAAGUAUAGCUCACCACCUCCACCAGUCCACCAUUAUGAUCCUCCAUAUAACUACAAGUCACCUCCACCGCCUUCACCUGUUUACAAGUACAACUCCCCACCUCCACCAGUCCAUUAUUAUUCACCUCCAUAUUACUACAAAUCACCCCCUCCUCCUGUGAAAUCGCCACCACCUCCUUACUACUAUAAAUCACCUCCUCCUCCCUCACCGGUUUACAAAUACAACUCACCACCUCCACCGGUUUACAAGUACAACUCACCACCUCCGCCAGUCCAUUAUUACUCUCCUCCAUAUUACUAUAAGUCACCUCCACCUCCUUCACCGGUUUACAA
rnacentral:lncRNA from 1 species